CAGCAGCCGCGGUAAUACGAAGGGGGCUAGCGUUGUUCGGAUUUACUGGGCGUAAAGCGCACGUAGGCGGACUUUUAAGUCAGGGGUGAAAUCCCGGGGCUCAACCCCGGAACUGCCUUUGAUACUGGAAGUCUUGAGUAUGGUAGAGGGGAGUGGAAUUCCGAGUGUAGAGGUGAAAUUCGUAGAUAUUCGGAGGAACACCAGUGGCGAAGGCGGCUCACUGGACCAUUACUGACGCUGAGGUGCGAAAGCGUGGGGAGCAAACAGGAUUAGAUACCCCUGUAGUCCCUGUCUCUUAUAC
rnacentral:rRNA from 1 species